UACGUAGGGUGCGAGCGUUGUCCGGAAUUAUUGGGCGUAAAGGGCGCGUAGGCGGCCCGGCGCGUCCGCAGUGAAAGCUCCCGGCUCAACUGGGAGAGGUCCGCGGAAACGGUCGGGCUGGAGCAAGGUAGGGGGUCGUGGAAUUCCCGGUGUAGUGGUGGAAUGCGUAGAGAUCGGGAGGAACACCAGUGGCGAAGGCGGCGACCUGGACCUGUGCUGACGCUGAGGCGCGAAAGCGUGGGGAGCGAUCCGG
rnacentral:rRNA from 1 species